CCGGUUGAUCCUGCCGGGACCCCACUGCUAUCGGGAUAGGACUAAGACAUGCUAGUCAUGCGCUUCCUAGCCAAUUUGGGAGCGCGGCACACAGCUCAGUAACACGUGGCUAACCUGCCCUUGGGACAAGAACACCCCCGGGAAACUGGGGCUAAUUCUCGAUAGGUGAAGAACUCUGGAAUGAGUCUUCGCUUAAAAGACGCUGCGCUAUGCUUGCAGGCGCCGCCCAAGGAUGGGGCCGCGACCGAUCAGGUUGUUGGUGAGGUAAUGGCUCACCAAGCCUUUUACCGGUGCGGGCCGUGAGAGCGGGAGCCCGGAGAUGGGCACUGAGACAAGGGCCCAGGCCCUACGGGGCGCAGCAGUCGCGAAAACUUUGCAAUAAGCGAAAGCUUGACAGGGCUAUCCCGAGUGCCAUCCGCUGAGGAAGGCUUUUACCCAGUCUAGAACGCUGGGGGAAUAAGGAGAGGGCAAGUCUGGUGUCAGCCGCCGCGGUAAUACCAGCUCUUCGAGUGGUGUGGAUGUUUAUUGGGCCUAAAGCAUCCGUAGCUGGCUAGGUUAGUCCCCUGUUAAAUCCACCGAAUUAAUCGUUGGAUUGCGGGGGAUACUGCUUGGCUAGGGGACGAGAGAGGCAGACGGUAUUUCCGGGGUAGGGGUGAAAUCCUAUAAUCCCGGGAGGACCACCAGUGGCGAAGGCUGUCUGCUAGAACGCGCCCGACGGUGAGGGAUGAAAGCUGGGGGAGCGAACCGGAUUAGAUACCCGGGUAGUCCCAGCUGUAAACGAUGCAGGCUAGGUGUUUGGACGGCCACGUGCCGUUCUAGUGCCGCAGGGAAACUGUUAAGCCUGCCGCCUGGGGAGUACGAUCGCAAGAUUGAAACUUAAAGGAAUUGGCGGGGGAGCAC
rnacentral:rRNA from 1 species